rnacentral:misc_RNA from 1 species
GAUGAAGAACGUAGCGAAAUGCGAUAAGUAAUGUGAAUUGCAGAAUUCAGUGAAUCAUCGAAUCUUUGAACGCACAUUGCGCCCGCCAGUAUUCUGGCGGGCAUGCCUGUUCGAGCGUCAUUUCAACCCUCAAGCCCCAGCGGCCUGGUGUUGGGGACCGGCGACCUCGCCCGAGCCCGCCCUCCGGGGCGCGUGCCCGGUGCGUCCGCCGCCCCCGAAAUGAAUUGGCGGCCUCGUCGCGGCCUCCUCUGCGUAGUAGCACAACCUCGCAAGCGGGAGCGCGACGCGGCCACUGCCGUAAAACGCCCAACUUUUUUAGAGUUGACCUCGGAUCAGGUAGGAAUACCCGCUGAACUUAAGCAUAUCAUAAGCGGAGGA